rnacentral:rRNA from 1 species
CCAAUAGCGUAUAUUAAAGUUGUUGCAGUUAAAAAGCUCGUAGUUGAAUUUCGGGGUCAUCAGGUCGGUCGUGCCACUGGUAUGAACUGGCCUCGCUGAUUCCUCCCUCUUGACGAACUGUGAUGCCAUUAAUUUGGUGUCGCAGGGAAUCAGGACUGUUACUUUGAAAAAAUUAGAGUGUUUAAAGCAGGCUUUCGCUUGAAUACAUUAGCAUGGAAUAAUGAAAUAGGACGUUUGAUCCUAUUUUGUUGGUUUCUAGGAUUGACGUAAUGAUUAAUAGGGAUAGUUGGGGGCAUUAGUAUUCAAUUGUCAGAGGUGAAAUUCUUGGAUUUAUUGAAGACUAACUACUGCGAAAGCAUUUGCCAAGGAUGUUUUCAUUAAUCAAGAACGAAAGUUAGGGGAUCGAAGACGAUCAGAUACCGUCGUAGUCUUAACCAUAAACUAUGCCGACUAGGGAUCGGAUGAUGUUAAUUUUUUAAUGACUCAUUCGGCGCCUUACG